rnacentral:rRNA from 1 species
UGGCCGUAAACGAUGUGGACUUGGUGUUGGAAUGGCUCCGAGCUGCUCCAGUGCCGAAGGGAAGCUGUUAGGUCCACCGCCUGGGAAGUACGGUCGCAAGACUGAAACUUAAAGGAAUUGGCGGGGGGAGCACCACAACGCGUGGAGCCUGCGGUUUAAUUGGACUCAACGCCGGGAAGCUCACCGGAUAAGACAGCGGAAUGAUUGCCGGGCUGAAGACCCUGCAUGACCAGCUGAGAGGUGGUGCAUGGCGUGUGACUGU